rnacentral:rRNA from 1 species
UACAGAGGUCCCAAGCGUUGUUCGGAUUCACUGGGCGUAAAGGGUGCGCAGGUGGUUUGGCAAGUUUGACGUGAAAGCCCCGGGCUUAACCCGGGAAUGGCGUUGAAAACUGCUUGAACUGGAGGGUCGGAGGGGGGACUGGAAUUCUUGGUGUAGCAGUGAAAUGCGUAGAUAUCAAGAGGAACACCAGUGGCGAAGGCGAGUCCCUGGACGAUACCUGACACUGAGGCACGAAAGCCAAGGGAGCAAGCAGG